UAGCUAUGAUGAGUUUAUAUUUUAACCUGAUUUCUAUGAAGGUUUUUAGAGCUUUUUAACCCUGAGUUAG
rfam:Lottia gigantea unplaced genomic scaffold LOTGIsca_216, whole genome shotgun sequence.